CUGAAAUCAUGCCAACCCAAAUCAUGCUCAAUCCUAGCUGGUUUCAAAAGCUAAGCAGGGUCAGGCCUGGUGAGUCUUUGGAUGGGAGACCACAAGGGAAUGCCGGGGACUUUCCAGG
rnacentral:rRNA from 1 species